UAAAUUGUUAUUGUUAUUCCUGUUUCUUCUAGUUCUGUGAACAUCUAAAUUAGACGGUUCAUCUGACAUGAUGGGCCAACACAAAUUCAAAUGCCACAAAGGAAGUUAAAAAAAAAAAAAAAAAAAGCCACAAAGGCGAGUGAGCAGCGGUCCGACUAUAUUAUUGGUCCGGGUUACCGGGGGACUUUUAUUGCGGACGGACCGCCCGAAAGUUCGAAAGUAAAUCUGUUUGAAGAAGAUAGAAGGUUGAGGACUUUGAGAAGUAGGGAACGGGUUGUCCGAUGGAAUGCUGUACGGGGCGCCGUCGUCAUUGUCCUCGACAUCGACGCGCAGCGCCUUGCCGAGAAGUGUUGACCUAUCCGACACAAGGAGUAGACGAGAGAGUGUGAAGGAUUCAGCUGAGUGAAUGGCAUUUUAUGAUGCAGGAAGCUCCUGCAGUGCUGCGGGAACAGAGGGCCUCAGUGCGGCGGGUUUACCCAAGAUAAGUACCCUGGCACAGGGGGAACUUGACCACCUCCAGGGCCUCUUUCACCUCAGUCCAUUGACCUUGGAGAAACCAGAACCACAGAGUGGGUCUUCUGCCAAAGACGACUAAAAAAGUCCAAACAGAGAUAAGUAACAGAAACAAAAUCCGCAUGAUUCAUUGCCAUAGUCCACUUCAUUUGACUGAAAAGAAAAAUAGAAACCUCCCUUAAACUUUUGUUGACUUCUAGGAUAACUUUUCAGAUAAAUGUGCUAAUUUAAGAAAUGGAUAGAUUGUAUGUUCCUCACUUUCAUCUGUUUACCUCACAAAGGAGCUUGUGAAUUGUGUUUGUGUGUGUGUGUGUGUGUGUGUGUGUGUGUGUGUGUGUGUGUGUGUGUGUGUGUGUGUGUGUGUGUGUGUGUGUGUGUGUGUGUGUGUGUGUGUGUGUGUGUGUGUGUGUGUGUGUGUGUGUGUGUGUGUGUGUGUGUGUGUGUGAUUUUAAAAAGAAGAAACCCCUCUCCGAGCUUGCAUAUUUAAAUUGUCCUGAACUCCGACUGCGUCUGAGUCGAACUGCACUAACCACUGAAAGUCGUACGUGCUUGGCAGUUCUGUCAUUACACCCAAAGACGCAGCCUGCUUGGAAAGAUCCACAGAAGGAUAUAAUUAGCGCAAUGAGACAAACCGGUAUUUUCGGGGUCAGAGGAUUUGUCGCUAUUUCUACUUACAGUAAGAAGUUUUAACCUCCCAGUAAAACGUGCAGUGCCCCCCCAUUGCCCUCAGCCUCACGAUCUGCACAUAGUUAGUGCCUGAGCUGCAAAGUCAGCACCUUAUUACGCAAUCGGAGGGACUGGCUGAGUUUAGUAAACUCAGAAAAGAAACUCAGUGACACUGAAAUAGAAAAGAGUCAUUAUUCCCCAACAUUUACUAAGAUUGCAAUCUCACUUAAACUCCAACUUGAAUUUAGAACAAUAUUUAACUUUAUUUCUUCAGACUAAUGAAAUAUGAGUCAUUUUCUGAGCCCACUUCAUGGUCUUUUUGAAAGUGUUACUUUUUUUAAAUGAAUUGUGCUGAUUCCUUUUACUUUGGUGCUUUAUCCAGCCCGUGUUUGUCUGCUGUCAUUGAUAUACAUAUUAAGUUUCCCAAUCCACAAUUUAGGGUCGUACAGAGAUGUCAGUUAAUAUGCUCAAUAGUUAAUUUCCAAAACAGUCAUGUAAUUAAACAAUUUAAGUGUAUUUUGUGGGAUUACCUAAAAAGAAAAAGUACCAUAAACAUGUUUUUUUAAAACUUUUCUCAUAAAGUUGUUCUGCAUCAGGCUCUGUGGUCCUGCUAACUGGAGCCUAUGCGUCAUGUGAGAGAAGAUACUGAACACAUGUUUUCUGGGAAGCUGGGAGGGAUGAAGCCUAAUGUUUACGGUACAGACAGCUGACAUGGGAAUACAUGAACUGUACGCUGUGACAUUUAGUUUUUGCAUUCUAGAUGUCAGAAAAUCCACUUUCAAAGCUUCGGCUCAAAGGAUUUCCUCUGACUUAUGUUGUAAUGUUCCAUUAAAAUAGACAGAUUAGAAACAAAGGGUUUACUUUAAUGCACUGCAUUACUCCGGUUAUUCUGGUUCACACACACCCCAAUCACAAGACAACCCAAAAAACUCGUGAAGCAUUAGUUGAGACGGCGGUUUGGCGUUCCACGCAUGAGUAACUGUAACUGUCUAACAGUUUUGAAUUUCGCCAUAAACCACAUGUUUGGCGGUUACCGUACUUUGGUUCUCACUCAUCUGAAACCACACCACAGUUUCCUUUGGAGUGAGACAGAAACUCAAUGGCAUUGUCAUCACCUGACAAACAAACCAGAUGGAUAAAUGCCUUUGAAUGUAAUUACGCUGCUAAAAAAUACACACACUGCUCAUCUCGAUGACCUCUUGGUGCCAUACAUCAACACCAGGUUUCUGAGUUGGGUCUGCAGACACCCACAGUCGGACAAAUGUGCACCUUGCGUGAGAGACAUAUUUAGAUACACAAGAAGUCUGCGACUGUAUAGUCACAACUACACAUAGUGGAAAAGAUUGAUGUGAAAUCCACAGUUAAAAAAUGACUAUGUUUUGACGGAUACACUGUAUGUUUACAGUGCAAUGAUUUCAGAUUUCAAUGUCGCACCAUUAAGAGUCACAUAAUCAAAUGCAAUAAGUAACAAAAAUGAUCCCUUUUAAUGCCAAGAUGAGGUGAGAGUUGGCCUGUAUAAUCAAUCGUGGUAGGGAUUUUUACAAUAAUGAAAUGUUACUCUUACCUGGCAGAGGAUGCUGCGUAUGUACUUGCCGCAGGCGACAUAUCCCGAAUGGUCGAAGUUCUCCAUGAUGGUGUGAAACUUGACCGAUAUCUCCCCGUCCCUUUCCACAUCGCAGCAUCCAAACUUGGAGUACUCCUUGCAGAGGACCAAUGGCUGCCGGGGCUCAAACGGAGGCUUGUAGUCCAAACACUGGGGGUGACAGCUCCCCCACCAGGAGUGGAGGAGCAACAGCAGCACAGACAGAAUUCAGGAUAUUAUUAAGCGCUCGACUCUGAAUCAAAGCAGCUUUCACUAUAACGUGUGAGGAGAAGGACGCAGAAGUAAAUAUGACAUCUCCACCAGCAUCUGUCAAGCACAGACAGCUGUGUGUGUGUUUGUGUAGAAGUGUGAAUGUGUGGACAUCAAACACACUGACCCAGCAUCACACCUGCCUGCAACUUGGCCAGAGACCUCCAAAGCUCGCGGGAUUGCGCGCUGGUUAAAUCACCAACCCACACAUCACGCUUAGAAGGCAAGCUGUGAAUGAGGUCAGACUGAUCCUGAUCCAGUGAAUUCUUCUGAUGGUGUAGAGUUCUUCAGUUUGUUGACAGAACCGGCGUGUCAAGUUUUCAGGUGUUCCAGUAUUCUACAUCAUGUCUGAGGAAGUACAAGAGUUUCCAAUUAUCCGAUCAGCUCCUCCAGUGUUUUUGCUCCACCCGCAAAAUCCUGUCAGAAGGCACAGGCACACACCACAGCCACCACCACUAUGUUGCCGAUAGUUGCCAGCACAGCGACCCAGAGCCAGAUUGUGUCACUGGACACUUUGCCGUCGUCCUCCGCUUCCGAGGGUCGAUAGCCCGCGUUGAGGUUGGAGGUGGACGUCUGCAAGGACGUGUUGCCAUUGUACGGAGAAUCCAUGAAGGCCCCGCUCACAGCUGGGAAAUGCUGUGAGGAGAGAGGGAGAAGGGACAGAGGAAAGAACAAGAAAGAGAGACACAUUUAGAUAAAGGUGUAUUGAAAAUAUAUAUAUAUAUAUAUAUUAAGAUAUUCCUUGUUUCAAAGGGCUGAAAAUCAGAUAAAAAUUCUGCCCUAAAUGUAUCAUACAAUGAUGAGCGAACAAUGUUCUGUUCAGGACGUGAACCCCACAGCUGUGGUCUCUGGUCUCUGGGCGGCUUCACUGUACAGUGGAGAGGAAUCAGCAUCUCAAAGGGAUUAACUCUCAAAAGGAUUAACUGAGGCCGACACAUGCCACGCAUACAUACCGACAGAGACAGGGCAGAGAUGAACAAAAACCAAGUGAGGCAAAUAUAAUGGAUCGCACUUUUUUGUGUCAGCUGGAUGUGUUUGUCCCUGGGGGCUUCCCCAGCACCCACUCAAACAGACAGACAGGAAAGAGAUGCAACCAAUAUUGCUGCUACCUCUUGAAAUUAAUAGAAAAUAGAAUGUCUACAGAAGAAGAAACAAGCACACACACAUAGGCACACAAUCUGUUUCCUUUCUUGAUUUAUUUCCCUCUCCUUUACCCACGUAACACCUCAGGUUUUAGUUGCGUGUUGCUACAGCAUCAGCUCUUUAUUCUGUACGUGUGACACCAGAGCUACAGACACGUGGGGUUGAAGCGCAGGUGUGAACUUUAUAUACUGCAACUUUUUACUCAAGCUCACGACGACACACUGUGAAAAAGGACAAUAACACAAGCACAAAGGUAGUCUCAUAGUCUAAUGUACGUGCAAACACAGACUGUACUGUGUGGCUAUUAAUAAUUUUGUCUUUUUAGCAUCCUACAAAUCUCAUUUUGUUAUGACAGUAUAGUUUUCCAGAUAUUUUUUUUAUUUUUGUUCCAUUAUACCUAAGGCAUUUAUGGGAGCUGAGAAACUGAAUCCAGUCCAUCCUGGGUAUUCAGAUUUGGGAAAUAAUCUGGAUAUGAGUCAUCGAAUUUGUGAAUGUGUAAAGGAAUCUGCAAAUGUGUAUUCAGAUUCACAACUCUCCGGCCACAUUUGUGAUUAAUAUUUCUAGUAAAAUGACUUUUAGAUUUAUUAGAGGGAGAGUGACACAUGGAAGAGCCCAGCUCGAAAGAAAGAGAGCGUGCAAAACAUAUGAAAGGAAAUUAACUUUCAUUAUGCGGAUGAGCACAUGUUUAUGACUCUGUGUCAGUGUAACUGAAGCUGAGGUCAAAGCCUCAAGAUUGUAAAUAGACUUUUUUUUUUGUCUAGCCCACUGUGGCUCUGGGCUGCUUCGAGCGUCAGGUUCUUUUUGACCCCUGAGUGCUUCCCGGGCUUCUCUUGUGUCCUCAUCUACCCCAGCUCUGCAGCCACACUGCAUAUAUGUGACUUCUCAGUGAGCAAACCCUUCACACUGAGGGGAGUCACUUUUCUUUUUGUUAAAUAUUACAAGUGAAACCCAUUAUUACAUGCUCAACCUCAGUUAGUGCUCACGGUGGUUGUCAUUGUGACGUCUUCAAUGGUGCGGAGGAAUUUAAACUGAAACUGUUUUUCUGCGGACUUUAGAAGAAUCUAAAUAAAACAUGUCAGCCA